rnacentral:rRNA from 1 species
AACCGGGGGAUCAGAGCGUUACCCGGAUUUAUUGGGUUAAAAGGGUGCGCAGGCGGCCAUUUAAGUCAGCGGUUAAAUCGUGGGGCUCAACGCCAUUCUGCCGUUGAUACUGGGUGGCUUGAUUGCGGUCGAGGUGGGCGGAAUUCGUUGUGUAGCGGUGAAAUGCAUAGAUAUGACGAAGAACACCGAUUGCGUAGGCAGCUGAUCAGACCGCAAAUGACACUCAUGCACGAAAGUGCAGGGAUCGAACAGGAUUAGAUACCCUGGUAGUCCGCACAGUAAUCGAUGAAUACUUGUUUUCGGCGAUAUAAUGUCGGAGGCAAAGCGAAAGCGAUAAGUAUUCCGCCUGGGGAGUACGCCGGCAACGGUGAAACUCAAAUGAAUUGGCGGGG